GUCCUCCUGGCGGUCAUUUUGGCCUCUUCUCUGGGUUCACAGACUCAUAAGCUUCAGCGCUUGGUGGCGAGUAGGAGGAGGUGUUGGCGGCAGCUUCCCCGCUGGGCAGGGUGUGUCUGAGGCUUGUUGACCCCAAACCGGCGGGAUUGGGGUCUCCUUGCCUCCCCGACUCCUCUCCGCUGACAGAGUCCACUCAGCGUCACCCCAUUGAACCCUCCAGCCUCUGUUCCCGGCGCCGCUCGGGUCCCGCAGCCAAGGUUGCGGCGUCCAGCACAGGUAUGGGAUAUUUCAGACGCCAGUUCAUAACCAUCUGAAACUCUGAGGAGUAGUGCAAGAUGAAGACUACUUAAGAAAUGUAGAUCACCUGUUUUUAUUGGAGGUAGAAGAGUAAUUAA